CACUACCAGGCAAGUAGUCCUGGAGGUGUAAGGUGUUUAGUGUGAGCCCUAGAGAGCAAGUCAGUCAUCGCAUCCCUCGUGCUCUGCCCAGACUUCCCACCAGGAUGGACGGUGAUCAGGAUGUGAAAGCCUUGGCUUUGGCUGGUGUUUCCACAUGGUGACAGAAAGCAAAUGAUUUAUUAUGUGUAGUGUUCCGCCUGCAUGCAUGCCUGCAGACCAGAAGGGGGCACCAGUUCUCAUUAGAGAUGAUUUUUGAGCCACCAUGUAGGUGCUGGGAUUUGAACUCAGGACCUCUGAAAGAGCAGCCAGUGUUCUAAACUGCUGAGCCAUCUCUCCAGCCCAUUCAUUGCCUUGUUUUCUAACUCUUCUCUCUCUCCCACUCUCAGCCUGGAACUAUGCAGCUCACAUGGCCUUUGGGCCUAAGAUACUCCUGACUUAGCCUCCCAAGUGCUAGACCACAAGCAUGCACCACCAUCCCUCGAAGGAAGCGACGGAAUCAGACAGGAACUCGGGGCCGCCAUCCUGCCUUGUCCUGCAGCUCCCGGGAGGGUCGCUCCCCCGGACCUCCGCAGAGCCGAGGUCCUCUCCGCACCCUGCAUUCACCGCUCUCGCACCCAUAAAGAUGCACGGACAGAGCGGAAGAU
rnacentral:lncRNA from 1 species